GUCUGCCUACGGGAGGCAGCAGUAGGGAAUCUUCCACAAUGGACGAAAGUCUGAUGGAGCAACGCCGCGUGAGUGAAGAAGGGGUUCGACUCGUAAAGCUCUGUUGUUAGUGAAGAAAGAUAGAGGUAGUAACUGGCCUUUAUUUGACGGUAAUUACUUAGAAAGUCACGGCUACCUACGUGCCAGCAGCCGCGGUAAUACGUAGGUGGCAACCGUUGUCCGGCUUUAUUGGGCGUCACGCGCUUGCUUGCGGUUCCCUUUGUCUGAUGUGAAACCCUUCGUCUC
rnacentral:rRNA from 1 species